CCUACGGGUGGCAGCAGUAGGGAAUCUUUCACAAUGGGCGAAAGCCUGAUGGAGCAACGCCGCGUGCAGGAUGAAGGCCUUCGGGUUGUAAACUGCUUUUAUAAGCGAGAAAUAUGAUGGUAACUUAUGAAUAAGGAUCGGCUAACUCCGUGCCAGCAGCCGCGGUCAUACGUAGGAUCCGAGCAUUAUCCGGAGUGACUGGGUGUAAAGAGUUGCGUAGGUGGCAUAAUAAGUAGCUAGUGAAAUCUGGUGGCUCAACCAUUCAGACUAUUAGCUAAACUGUUAAGCUCGAGACCGUUAGGGGUAACUGGAAUUUCUAGUGUAGGAGUGAAAUCCGUAGAUAUUAGAAGGAACACCAAUAGCGUAGGCAGGUUGCUGGGACGGGUCUGACACUAAGGCACGAAAGCGUAGGGAGCAAACGGGAUUAGAUACCCCUGUAGUC
rnacentral:rRNA from 1 species